AUUUCUAUUUUUGGGGAUUCAAAACCGGGAUUUUCUCUCUUUUAGCGGGAUUUUCUUUCAUUCUUUCCAUUCUUCUUCCCCAAAUCUACAAAAACGCGAUAUUACACUCAAUGCAACUCCAAAAAACCUAAAAAUUCUUCUUCAUCUCGAAUUAACAGCAAAUCAAACACGAAAAGUGAUUUUUUUUUUGCUGCAAUCAGCGUGAUUUUCAUUUUUGCUGCAAUUUUGAUUUUAACUUUUUGUUCGAUGGAGCUUUAACUAGUUUAGGUUCUUCAUAGUGGUGAAUGGGAUGACAACAAAUUUAUCAAUUUCGUCGGCGAUUCUGAGUUUGAAGCAAUUUCGAAACAGAUUAGAGUUGAUUCUGAGUUAAAUACAUUAGAGAUUAAGUUUCUCUCAAAGGAUGGUUUGCCAUCGAUUCUGAUUUACAACGAUGCUGGUGUUCGGGUGUAUAUUGAAUUAAAGAAGAAAAACUUGGAUUUCACUGAGUACUCGUUGUGUGUGACUGUGAAAGAGAUUUAUGAUAAUUGUUUGAUUGCUACAAGUUCAAGUUGUAUAGAUAAAGGCAAUCGUGUAAAUGAUAUUGAAGAUGCAUCCACAAUUGAUAGCAUUGAGAUUAUGCCUGAUAUCGAAUUUAUAGAAAACACUGAUUAUGGUAUAAUAGAUAAUAUGUUAAAUGAAUUAGUUGAAUAGGAAUGUAGGAUCAAGUUUAUAAAGAUAAAGAGACAGUUGUCAGUGUGAUGAAAAGAGGGAAUAUGAACGAUUCAUAUAAGGAGUUGGUGAGGUAUUUGUAUAUGUUGGAGCAUACAAAUCCAGGAACAGUUACAAAGUUGCACAAAUCAUAAGAUGGAUGCUUUCUUUACGCAUAUGUUUUGCUAUAUGCAUCUAUCAAGGGUUGGGAGCAUUGCAGGCCGAUAAUGGUUGUUGACGGAAGUUUCCUUAAAGCAUCAUAUAAGGGUACCAUAUUGACUGCUUGCACACAGGAUAGAGCUAGAAAAAUACUUCCACUUGCAUAUGCAAUUGUAGAUUCAGAGAAUAAUAAAUCUUGGGAGUGGUUCUUCGUCUAGAUAAAGGGCACUUUUGGUGUUAGGGAAUGGAUGCGUAUAGUUUCAGAUAGAAAUGAAAGCAUCUUCUAUGCCACAAAAGUUGUAUACCCAGAAGUUUCACAUUGUAUUUGCAUGUUUUACUUGUGGCGGAAUAUCAAGCGCACAUUCAAGAAAUAUCACAAACAAUUGAAGGAUAUCUUCUUCGCUUUGGCCGGAGCUUACACGAUAGAGAAGUUUGACUAUCAUAUGACAUAGAUGUGCAAAAUUGAUCCGAGGGUGCAGCCUUACUUGUUCAAAAUUGGUUACGAAAGGUGGCCUAGGGCAUACUCCAAAGUUAAAAGGUCGAUGGUAAUGACUUCCAAUAUUGCAGAGUCAAUUAAUGCAGCAAGCAAAGAUGCUAGAGAGCUACCAAUAAUGCGAUUGUUGGAGUACAUGAAAAAUUUGCUACAACAAUGGAAUAACAAAAAUAGAAAAAGUGUAAUGGAGACAUCUACAGAGCUUGGCGAAAAGUACAACAAACUCCUUCAGGAAAAUCUUAUUGCAUCGGAGCAAAUGACGGUGAGGCCUGCUACGGAGUAGUUAUAUACUAUGCUUGAAGGGGUAAGGCGAAACAUAGUGUGCCUUGAAGAGGGAACAUGUAGUUGCGAAAAAUUUCAAAUGGAUGAACUUCCAUGUCCGUAUGCUUGGGCGGUUUUGAAGAACCAGCAGCUGAAACCUGGCCAGUAUUGCUUUUUUUACUACAAGAAGGAUAACCUCCUUAGAACUUAUGAAUUUUCAGUGAAUCCGAUGUUAGAUGAGAGUUUAUGAAAAAUCCCAAUAGAGGUGUUGGAAGAUGUGGUCCUGCCACCAAAAGGGAGAAUAAAUGCAGGAAGGCCGAGAAAGGAAAGACUCAAACCGGCUUCAGAGAAAGAGUAUAAGAUGGGGUUUUCAUGUUCUCUGUGUGGACAAAAUGGUCACAAUAGAAAUACAUGUAAGAAUCGACCAAAAUAAAUAGUUGGAAACAUAACACUUCCUAUUACAUA